rnacentral:rRNA from 1 species
CGCUUGAGAGAACUCGGGUGAAGGAACUAGGCAAAAUGGUGCCGUAACUUCGGGAGAAGGCACGCUGACACGUAGGUGAAGUGAUUUACUCACGGAGCUGAAGUCAGUCGAAGAUACCAGCUGGCUGCAACUGUUUAUUAAAAACACAGCACUGUGCAAACACGAAAGUGGACGUAUACGGUGUGACGCCUGCCCGGUGCCGGAAGGUUAAUUGAUGGGGUCAGCGCAAGCGAAGCUCCUGAUCGAAGCCCCGGUAAACGGCGGCCGUAACUAUAACGGUCCUAAGGUAGCGAAAUUCCUUGUCGGGUAAGUUCCGACCUGCACGAAUGGCGUAAUGAUGGCCAGGCUGUCUCCACCCGAGACUCAGUGAAAUUGAACUCGCUGUGAAGAUGCAGUGUACCCGCGGCAAGACGGAAAGACCCCGUGAACCUUUACUAUAGCUUGACACUGAACAUUGAGCCUUGAUGUGUAGGAUAGGUGGGAGGCUUUGAAGUGUGGACGCCAGUCUGCAUGGAGCCGACCUUGAAAUACCACCCUUUAAUGUUUGAUGUUCUAACGUGGACCCGUUACCCGGGUUGCGGACAGUGUCUGGUGGGUAGUUUGACUGGGGCGGUCUCCUCCUAAAGAGUAACGGAGGAGCACGAAGGUUGGCUAAUCCUGGUCGGACAUCAGGAGGUUAGUGCAAUGGCAUAAGCCAGCUUGACUGCGAGCGUGACGGCGCGAGCAGGUGCGAAAGCAGGUCAUAGUGAUCCGGUGGUUCUGAAUGGAAGGGCCAUCGCUCAACGGAUAAAAGGUACUCCGGGGAUAACAGGCUGAUACCGCCCAAGAGUUCAUAUCGACGGCGGUGUUUGGCACCUCGAUGUCGGCUCAUCACAUCCUGGGGCUGAAGUAGGUCCCAAGGGUAUGGCUGUUCGCCAUUUAAAGUGGUACGCGAGCUGGGUUUAGAACGUCGUGAGACAGUUCGGUCCCUAUCUGCCGUGGGCGCUGGAGAACUGAGGGGGGCUGCUCCUAGUACGAGAGGACCGGAGUGGACGCAUCACUGGUGUUCGGGUUGUCAUGCCAAUGGCACUGCCCGGUAGCUAAAUGCGGAAGAGAUAAGUGCUGAAAGCAUCUAAGCACGAAACUUGCCCCGAGAUGAGUUCUCCCUGAGACUUUAGGUCUCCUGAAGGAACGUUGAAGACGACGACGUUGAUAGGCCGGGUGUGUAAGCGCAGCGAUGCGUUGAGCUAACCGGUACUAAUGAACCGUGAGGCUUAACCUUACAACGCCG